UGACCCUUUGAGGGUCCUGAAGGAACGUUGAAGACGACGACGUUGAUAGGCCGGGUGUGUAAGCGCAGCGAUGCGUUGAGCUAACCGGUACUAAUGAACCGUGAGGCUUAACCUUACAACGCCGAAGCUGUU
rnacentral:rRNA from 1 species